UAUACAGGUGUUGCAUGGCUGUCGUCAGCUCGUGUCGUGAGAUGUUCGGUUAAGUCCGCUAACGAGCGCAACCCUCGUCGUAUGUUAUAUGUGUCAUACGAGACUGCCGGUAAAAGCCGGAGGAAGGUGAGGAUGAUGUCAAGUCAGCAUGACCUUUAUAUCCAGGGCUACACACACGCUACAAUGGUCUGUACAAUGGGUAGCCAAGCCGCGAGGCGGAGCCAAUCCUGAAAGCAGGCCUCAGUUCAGAUUGCAGUCUGCAACUCGACUGCAUGAAGCCGGAGUUGCUAGUAACCGCAGGUCAGCAAUACUGCGGUGAAUACGUUCCCGGGGCUU
rnacentral:rRNA from 1 species